AAGGUUUCCGUAGGUGAACCUGCGGAAGGAUCAUUGUCGAGAC
rnacentral:rRNA from 1 species